ACGCUGGCGGCGUGCUUAACACAUGCAAGUCGAACGAUGAAGCCUAGCUUGCUAGGUGGAUUAGUGGCGAACGGGUGAGUAAUACGUGAGUGACCUACCUUUGACUCUGGGAUAAGCCUGGGAAACUGGGUCUAAUACCGGAUACGACCAAUCUCCGCAUGGGGUGUUGGUGGAAAGCGUUAUGGAGUGGUUUUAGAUGGGCUCACGGCCUAUCAGCUUGUUGGUGAGGUAAUGGCUUACCAAGGCGACGACGGGUAGCCGGCCUGAGAGGGUGACCGGCCACACUGGGACUGAGACACGGCCCAGACUCCUACGGGAGGCAGCAGUGGGGAAUAUUGCACAAUGGGCGCAAGCCUGAUGCAGCGACGCCGCGUGAGGGAUGACGGCCUUCGGGUUGUAAACCUCUGUUAGCAUCGAAGAAGCGAAAGUGACGGUAGGUGCAGAGAAAGCGCCGGCUAACUACGUGCCAGCAGCCGCGGUAAUACGUAGGGCGCGAGCGUUGUCCGGAAUUAUUGGGCGUAAAGAGCUUGUAGGCGGUUGGUCGCGUCUGCUGUGAAAGGCUGGGGCUUAACCCUGUGUUUUGCAGUGGGUACGGGCUAACUAGAGUGCAGUAGGGGAGACUGGAAUUCCUGGUGUAGCGGUGGAAUGCGCAGAUAUCAGGAGGAACACCGAUGGCGAAGGCAGGUCUCUGGGCUGUAACUGACGCUGAGAAGCGAAAGCAUGGGGAGCGAACAGGAUUAGAUACCCUGGUAGUCCAUGCCGUAAACGUUGGGCACUAGGUGUGGGGGACAUUCCACGUUUUCCGCGCCGUAGCUAACGCAUUAAGUGCCCCGCCUGGGGAGUACGGCCGCAAGGCUAAAACUCAAAGAAAUUGACGGGGGCCCGCACAAGCGGCGGAGCAUGCGGAUUAAUUCGAUGCA
rnacentral:rRNA from 1 species